AUAUACACAAUUCUUUACUACCAAAAACAUUUUGAUUUCAUUUUCCCCAUUCGCCCUCUCUAUUUUUCCCCAUCCCCUCUCUCUUUUUCCCCAUUCUCUCGCUCUCUCUCCCCAUUCUCUCGCUCUCUCUCCCCAUUCUCUCGCUCUCUCUCUCCAUUCUCUCCCUCUCUCUCCAUUCUCUCCCUCUCUCCUUUUCCCUAUUCUCUCCCUCUCUCCUUUUCCCCAUUCUCUCUCUUUUUCCCCAUUCUCUCUCUUUUCCCCAUUCUCUCUCUUUUCCCCCAUUCUCUCUCCUUUUCCCCAUUCUCUCUCCCUCACUUUCCCCAUUCGCCCUCUCCCUCUCACGUCCACAUUCUCUCCAUUUCAUUUUCCCCAUUCGCCCUCUCUAUUUUUCCCCAUCCCCUCUCUCUUUUUCCCCAUUCUCUCGCUCUCUCUCCCCAUUCUCUCGCUCUCUCUCCCCAUUCUCUCGCUCUCUCUCCCCAUUCUCUCGCUCUCUCUCCAUUCUCUCCCUCUCUCCUUUUCCCUAUUCUCUCCCUCUCUCCUUUUCCCCAUUCUCUCUCCUUUUCCCCAUUCUCUCUCUUUUCCCCAUUCUCUCUCUUUUCCCCAUUCUCUCUCUUUUCCCCAUUCUCUCUCUUUUUCCCCAUUCUCUCUCUUUUUCCCCAUUCUCUCUCUUUUUCCCCAUUCUCUCUCCUUUUCCCAUUCUCUCUCCUUUUCCCCAUUCUCUCUCCUUUUCCCCAUUCUCUCUCUCCCUCUCUUUCCCCAUUCGCCAUCUCCCUCUCACGUCCACAUUCUCUCCAUUUCGAUUUUCCCCAUUCGCCCUCUCUAUUUUUCCCAUACGCCCUCUCUAUUUUUCCCCAUUCGCCCGCUCUAUUUUUCCCCAUUCGCCCUCUCUAUUUUUCCCAUACGCCCUCUCUAUUUUUCCCCAUUCGCCCUCUCUAUUUUUCCCCAUUCGCCCUCUCUAUUUUUCCCCAUUCGCCCUCUCUAUUUUUCCCAUACGCCCUCUCUAUUUUUCCCCAUUCGCCCUCUAUUUUUCCCCAUUCGCCCUCUCUAUUUUUCCCCAUUCGCCCUCUCUUUUUCCCCAUUCUCUCUCUUUACCCAUUUGCUCUCUCUCUAUUUCAUUUUCCCCAUUCUCUCGCUCUCUCUCCCCCAUUCUCUUGCUCUCGCUCUCUCUUUCCCCAUUCUCUCCCUCUCUCUUUUCCCAUUCUCUCCCUCCCCAUUUUCUCCCCCUCUCUUUUCCCAUUCUCUCCCUCCCCAUUCCCUCGCUCUCUCUUUCCCCAUUCCCUCACGCUCUUCUCUCUCCAUUCUCUCGCUCUCUCCCCAUUCUCUCGCUCUCUCUCCCCAUUCUCUCCCUUUUCCCCAUUCUCUCUCGCUCUCUUUCCCCACUCCCUCUCUCCUCCAUUCUCUCCAUUUCCUUUUCCCCAUUCACUCUCUCUAUUUUUCGCCAUCCUCUCUCUUGCUCCCCAUUCUCUCUCUCUCUCCCCAUUCUCUCUCUUUCUUUUCUCCCAUUCUCGCCCUCUCUCUUUCCCUUUUUUACCCAUUCUCUCUCUUUUUCCCCUAAUCCCCCAUUCUCUCUCUUUUUCCCCAUUCUCUCUCUCGCUCUCUUUCCCCAUUCGCCCUCUCACAUCCCCAUUCUCAGGCUUUAUUUUUCCCCAUUCUCGCCCUCUCGAUUUUUCCCCAUUCUCGCCCUCUCGAUUUUUCCCCAUUCUCGCCCUCUCGAUUUUUCCCCAUUCUCGCCCUCUCGAUUUUUCCCCAUUCUCGCCCUCUCCAUUUUUCCCCAUUCUCUCUCUUUUUCCCCAUUCUCUCUCUUUUUCCCCAUUCUCUCUCUCGCUCUUUUUCCCCAUUCCCUUGCUCCCCAUUCUCUCGCUCUCUCUCCCCAUUCUCUCUCGCUCUCUCCCCAUUCUCUCUUUCUUUUCUCCCAUUCUCACCCUCUCACUUUCCCUUUUUCCCCAUUCUCUCUCUCGCUCUCUAUCCACAUUCUCUCCAUUUCAUUUUCCCCAUUCUCACGCUUUAUUUUUCCUCACGCUUUAUUUUUCCCCAUUCGCCCUCUCUAUUUUUCCCCAUUCGCCCUCUCUCUUUUUCCCCAUUCUCUCUCUUUACCCAUUUGCUCUCUCUCUAUUUCAUUUUCCCCAUUCUCUCGCUCUCUCUCCCCCAUUCUCUUGCUCUCUCUCUCUCUUUCCCCAUUCUCUCCCUCUCUCUUUUCCCAUUCUCUCCCUCCCCAUUUUCUCCCCCUCUCUUUUCCCAUUCUCUCCCUCCCCAUUCUCUCUCUCUCUUUUCCCCAUUCUCUCUCUCUCUUUUCCCCAUCCUCUCUCUCUUUUUCCCCAUUCUCUCUUUUCCCCAUUCUCUCUCUAUUUUUCCCCAUUCCCUCGCACUCUUCUCUCUCCAUUCUCUCGCUCUCUCCCCCAUUCUCUCGCUCUCUCUCCCCAUUCUCUCCCUUUUCCCCAUUCUCUCUCGCUCUCUUUCCCCACUCCCUCUCUCCUCCAUUCUCUCCAUUUCAUUUUCCCCAUUCACUCUCUCUAUUUUUCGCCAUCCUCUCUCUUUUUCCCCAUUCCCUUGCUCCCCAUUCUCUCUCUCUCUCCCCAUUCUCUCUCUUUCUUUUCUCCCAUUCUCGCCCUCUCUUUCCCUUUUUCCCCCAUUCUCUCUUUUUCCCCAUUCUCUCUCUCGCUCUCUUUCCCCAUUCGCCCUCUCACAUCCCCAUUCUCACGCUUUAUUUUUCCCCAUUCUCGCCCUCUCGAUUUUUCCCCAUUCUCUCCCUCUCUCUUUUCCCAUUCUCUCCCUCCACAUUUUCUCCCCCUCUCUUUUCCCAUUCUCUCCCUCCCCAUUCUCUCUCUCUUUUUCCCCAUUCUCUCUUUUCCCCAUUCUCUCUCUCUAUUUUUCCCCAUUCUCUCUCUCUAUUUUUCCCCAUUCCCUCGCUCUCUCUUUCCCCAUUCCCUCGCGCUCUUCUCUCUCCAUUCUCUCGCUCUCUCCCCAUUCUCUCGCUCUCUCUCCCCAUUCUCUCCCUUUUCCCCAUUCUCUCUCGCUCUCUUUCCCCACUCCCUCUCUCCUCCAUUCUCUCCAUUUCAUUUUCCCCAUUCACUCUCUCUAUUUUUCGCCAUCCUCUCUCUUUUUCCCCAUUCCCUUGCUCCCCAUUCUCUCUCUCUCUCCCCAUUCUCUCUCUUUCUUUUCUCCCAUUCUCGCCCUCUCUCUUUCCCUUUUUCACCCAUUCUCUCUCUUUUUCCCCUUCUAUCUCUUUCCCCAUUCUCUCUCUCGCUCUCUAUCCACAUUCUCACGCUUUAUUUUUCCUCACGCUUUAUUUUUCCCCAUUCGCCCUCUCGAUUUUUCCCCAUUCGCCCUCUCGAUUUUUCCCCAUUCUCGCCCUCUCGAUUUUUCCCCAUUCUCGCCCUCUCGAUUUUUCCCCAUUCUCGCCCUCUCGAUUUUUCCCCAUUCUCGCCCUCUCGAUUUUUCCCCAUUCUCCCCCUCUCGAUUUUUCCCCAUUCUCCCCAUCUCGAUUUUUCCCCAUUCUCCCCCAUCUCGAUUUUUCCCCAUUCUCCCCCAUCUCGAUUUUUCCCCAUUCUCCCCAUCUCGAUUUUUCCCCAUUCUCCCCCAUCUCGAUUUUUCCCCAUUCUCCCCAUCUCGAUUUUUCCCCAUUCUCCCCAUCUCGAUUUUUCCCCAUUCUCCCCAUCUCGAUUUUUCCCCAUUCUCCCCCUCUCGAUUUUUCCCCAUUCUCGCCCUCUCUUUCCCUUUUUCCCCAUUCUCUCUCUUUUUCCCCAUUCUCUCUCUCGCUCUUUUUCCCCAUUCCCUUGCUCCCCAUUCUCUCGCUCUCUCUCCCCAUUCUCUCUCGCUCUCUCUCCCCAUUCUCUCUCUUUCUUUUCUCCCAUUCUCACCCUCUCUCUUUCCCUUUUUCCCCAUUCUCUCUCUCUUUCCCCAUUCUCUCUCUCUGCUCUCUAUCCCCAUUCUCACGCUUUAUUUUUCCUCACGCUUUAUUUUUCCCCAUUCGCCCUCUCGAUUUUUCCCCAUUCGCCCUCUCUCUCUUUACCCAUUCUCUCUAUUUCAUUUCCCCCAUUCACUCGCUCUCUCCUUCCCCAUUCUCUCCCGCUCUCUUUCCAAAUUCUCUCCCGCUCUCUUUCCCCAUUCUCUCCCGCUCUCUUUCCCCAUUCUCUCCCGCUCUCUUUCCCCAUUCUCUCACUCUCUCUUUCCCCAUUCUCUCACUCUCUCUUUCCCCAUUCUCUCACUCUCUCUUUCCCCAUUCUCUCACUCUCUUUUCCCAUUCUCUCCCUCUCUUUCCCCAUUCUCUCCCUCUCUUUCCCCAUUCUCUCUCGCUCUCUUUUCCCCCAUUCACUCUCGCUCUCUUUUCCCCCAUUCACUCUCGCUCUCUUUUCCCCCAUUCACUCUCGCUCUCUUUUCCCCCAUUCUCUCCCGCUCUCUUUUCCCCCAUUCUCUCCCGCUCUCUUUCCCCAUUCUCUCCCGCUCUCUUUCCACAUUCUCUCCCGCUCUCUUUCCCCAUUCUCUCCCGCUCUCUUUCCCCAUUCUCUCUCGCUCUCUUUUCCCCCAUUCACUCUCGCUCUCUUUUUCCCCCAUUCUCUCUCGCUCUCUUUUUCCCCAUUCCCUCGCUCUCUUUUUCCCCAUUCCCUCGCUCUCUUUUUCCCCAUUCUCUCUCUUUUUCCCCCAUUCUCUCUCGCUCACUUUUUCCCCACUCUUUCCCACUUUUCCCCAUUCUCUCUCUUGUUUCCCCAUUCUCUCUCGCUCUCUUUUCCCCAUUCACUCUUUUCCCCAUUCACUCUCUUUUCCCCAUUCACUCUCUUUUCCCCAUUCACUCUCGCUCUCUUUUCCCCAUUCACUCUCUUUUUCCCCAUUCACUCUCUUUUCCCCCAUUCACUCUCUUUUUCCCCAUUCUCUCUCGCUCUCUUUUUCCCCAUUCACUCUCUUUUUUCCCCAUUCUCUCGCUCUCUUUUCCCCCAUUCUCUCUCUUUUUCCCCCAUUCUCUCUCGCGCUUUUCCCCAUUCUCUCUCUCUUGUUUCCCCAUUCACUCUCUCUUGUUUCCCCAUUCACUCUCGCUCUCUUUUCCCCAUUCACUCUCUUUUUCCCCAUUCACUCUCUUUUUCCCCAUUCUCUCUUGCUGUCUUUUUCCCCAUUCACUCUCUCUUUUUCCCCCAUUCUCUCUCUUUUUCCCCCAUUCUCUCUCGCUCACUUUUUCCCCAUUCUCUCUCCCGCUUUUCCCCAUUCUCUCUCGCUUUCGUUUCCCCAUUCUCUCUCGCUCUCUUUCCCCAUUCACUCUCACUUUCUUUCCCCAUUCACUCUCACUUUCUUUCCACAUUCACUCUCGCUCUCGUUUCCCCAUUCUCUCGCCCUCUUUUCCCCCAUUCACUCUCGCUCUCUUGUUUCCCCAUUCUCUCUCGCUCUCUUUCCCCCAUUCUCUCUCGCUCUACUUUUCCAUAUUCUCUCUCGCUCUCUUUCCCCAUUCUCUCUCGCUCUAUUUUUCCUCAUUCUCUCUCUCGCUCUAUUUUCCCCAUUCUCUCUCUUUCCCCCCAUUCUCUCGCUCUCUUUCCCCAUUCUCUCUCGCUCUAUUUUUCCUCAUUCUCUCUCUCGCUCUAUUUUCCCCAUUCUCUAUCUUUCCCCCAAUUCUCUCUUUCCCCCAUUCUCUCGCUCUUUUCCCCCAUUCUUAUGGGUCGUGGAUUAAUAAAGUGGUGGUGUUUUUUUCUUAAAGAGCGCCUUGUUGAUUGUUUAUUUCUAGCUACUCUGCUUUUUUCUCUGCCAACAAGGGUAAUGAUUUUGAAUGUACCGCCGUUUAUUUCCAAUGAGCUAUUGGAGCGCGUGUUUUUGCAGUUUGGGAAGUUUGCAAGUUCAAUUAAGAUUGUCCCGUUGGGUUGCAAACACCCGGCUUUGAAACAGGUUAUGUCGUUUCGGCGACAGGAGCAGACUUUGGAGUUAUCGUUUAAAGUCAAGUAUGACAACAGACUGUAUAUGGCUUAUGCUAGUACGGGUAGUCAACAGUGUUUUGAGUGUGGGGAUGUUGGCCAUAAGCGACAUGCUUGCCCGAAAAAAUUGAGGGAAGGGCGCAGGUGGUCCUUGUAA
rnacentral:lncRNA from 8 species